UACGUAGGGUGCGAGCGUUAAUCGGAAUUACUGGGCGUAAAGCGUGCGCAGGCGGUUCGCUGUGUCCUGUGUGAAAGCCCCGGGCUUAACCCUGGGAAUGGCAUGGGAAACUGGCGAGCUUGAGUGCGGCAGAGGGGGGUGGAAUUCCGCGUGUAGCAGUGAAAUGCGUAGAGAUGCGGAACGACCAGGGCAACGAUCGGCCGGACGAGCAGCCCCUGGGCAAGG
rnacentral:rRNA from 1 species